rnacentral:rRNA from 1 species
CUAAAUACUACCCAGUGACCGAUAGCGUAUAGUACUGUGAAGGAAAGGUGAAAAGCACCCCGGGAGGGGAGUGAAAAAGAACCUGAAACCCUGUGCCUACAAGCACCUAGAGCGCGUCAAUGCGUGAUAGGGUACUUUUUGUAGAACGGUCCGGCGAGCGAUUGUAUGCAGCAAGGUUAAGGACUUAAGGUCUGGAGCCGAAGCGAAAGCGAGUUUGAAAAGGGCGUUAAGUUGCAUAUAAUGGGCCCGAAACCGGGUGACCUACCCAUGGUCAGGUUGAAGUGGAAGUAAAAUUCCAUGGAGGACCGAACCGACCUCCGUUGAAAAGGCGGCGGAUGAACUGUGGGUAGCGGAGAAAUUCCAAUCGAACCCGGAGAUAGCUGGUUCUCCCCGAAAUAGUUUUAGGACUAGCCUCAAGUUAGAUACCUGGAGGUAAAGCACUGAAUAGCCUAGCGGCCGAGAGGUUAGCGAAGCUUAUCAAACUCAGAAUGCCAGAGUAUUGAUGCUUGGGAGUCAGACAGUGUCAGAUAAAUGUCAUUGUCAAAAGGGAAACAGCCCAGAUCUACAGCUAAGGUCCCAAAGUCAGGUUAAGUGGAAAACGAUGUGAAGAUACGCAGACAACCAGGAUGUUGGCUCAGAAGCAGCCACUCAUUCAAAGAGUGCGUAAUAGCUCACUGGUCGAGCGUCUUUGCGCGGAGAAUUUAACGGGGCUAAACCUGACACCGAAGCUUAGGCAAUCCAGUAAUGGAUUGGGUAGGGGAGCGUUGUAUACGCGGAGAAACAGUAGCGUAAGCGGCUGUGGAGUGUAUAGAAGUGAGAAUGCCGGAAUGAGUAGCGCGAAUGCAGUGAGAAUCUGCAUGGCCGAAAGCCUCAGGUUUUUGGAGGAAGGUUCGUCCGCUCCAAGUUAGUCGGGAGCUAAGGUGAGGCCGGAAGGCGUAGCCGAUGCACAGACGGUAGAGAUUCCGUCACCACCAAAAGAGUUAAGCACAGGGACACAUUUGAAGUCUCAGAGCCGGGUGUUGGUUCCGGUAGAGAUCGAGGGAAGUUAGUACCGAAGUCUGAGAUGGAAGAUGGCGAGAAAAGCUGUGUGUAUUUCUGAGGUGCCCGUACCGCAAACCGACACAGGUAGGUAGGAAGAAGAUUCUAAGGCCAACGGGAGAAGGGUUGUUAAGGAACUCGGCAAAUUGACCCCGUAACUUCGGGAGAAGGGGUGCUCCAGAGAUGGAGCCGCAGAGAAUCGGCCCAAGCAACUGUUUACCAAAAACACAGGUUUGUGCUAAAUCGAAAGAUGACGUAUACGAGCUGACGCCUGCCCGGUGCUGGAAGGUUAAGAGGAGAUGUGCAAGCAUUGAAUCGAAGCCCCAGUGAACGGCGGCCGUAACUAUAACGGUCCUAAGGUAGCGAAAUUCCUUGUCAGGUAAG